rnacentral:tRNA from 1 species
AGGCUUCUAACUCAGUGGUAGAGUGUACCUUUGAUAAGGGUAAUGUAUCUAGUUCAAUUCUAGAGAGGCUUA